GGUGCUGUGUCCUGACAGCUCUCCUCAGAGCUUGCAGACUUUGCUGGGAAUUUUUAAUUGCUCAUUGCUCUGGAAGAAUAAAAUGUCUGCUCACGGAUUCACAGAACUGCUUCCUAUCGACCCGAUUAAAAUUUUUGAUGAAAAUGAGCUGGAGUUACUGAUGUGUGGCCUUGGUGACGUGGAUGUCAGCGGCUGGAGACAACACACCAUCUACAAAAAUGGUUACUGCCCAAAUCACCCUGUUAUCCGGUGGUUCUGGAAGGUAAGACUGGGCACCAGCCCUAGCUGGUCCUGUAGGUGAAAGUCCCUGCCCUUUUUUGCAAUCAUUUUUCUGUAUGAGAACUGCUCAGGGUGGGUGGUUGUGCUGGGGCAGGAGCUGCUCCCUCCUGGCUCAGGUGAGGGCAGGUGCAGCUCCUGCUCAGAUGGAGCAGAGGCAGCCCAUAGUGCCCUGAG